AGGUUCGAAACGAGUUACGUCGUCGUAUCUUGAUUUGGAAAAUUCGUCGUGACGUGACGUCAUCCUCGACCAUUCGUCGGCACAUCUUGGUUUCCACGCAAUCGGCAAAGGAAGCUCAUCUGGAUGUGUCGCAAGAUCCGCCACAGGAAUUGAAGAAGAAAGAACAAGCAGAACGAAGUUCCUUGCUUGAUGAGAUCGUCCCUACGGAAACAACAAAAGGAUCAGGGACAACUAACAACACUGGUACUAAAGCAGGGAGGGAUGGGGCUGAUAGUCUGGUGAAGAAUGACACUAUAGUUGAUAAUUCAUGGGACAGUAUUGGGUAUGUGUAAUCAUCAAUGUUUAAAAAAAUGGAAAAAGGAAUAGGAAAUAAGAAAUGGAAAGGUCUGCUAAAAACGGAUAAAAUUUCAUAGCUCACAUGCCCCCUGCAGUUACUAAACUAAUUGUUUUAAUAGUGUAAGCAUAGAAUGGAACAAAGAUAACCAAUUAAUUUAUAUUACAUAGGUGUGAGUGAAUUGGGUAGCAACGGUUAUCAUUGUUGUGCACAGUAGGGUACGUAGGAGGCAUAAUAAGGGAUCAUAAUCACAGUAAGGGGAUCAUAAACUGUUAUCAUAAUAAUGAUAGCAGAUUAGGUUAUUCGUCUAGGAUCUAUUUAUCUAUUAGCACCUUGGAAGCUAUCUGGUUGCUUUUAAACAUGUUUUAAUAUUCUGUAUAAAAUUCGUGUGCUUUUGAAAAAUAAUUAGUAAGAGGAUCAUAAUCACAGUUAGGGGAUCAUAAACUGUUAUCAUAAUAAUGAUAGCAGAUUAGGUUAUUCGUCUAGGAUCUAUUUAUUUAUUAGCACCUUGGAAGCUAUCUGGUUGCUUUUAAACAUGUUUUAAUAUUCUGUAUAAAAUUCGUGUGCUUUUGAAAAAUAAUUAGUAAGAGGAUCAUAAUCACAGUUAGGGGAUCAUAAACUGUUAUCAUAAUAAUGAUAGCAGAUUAGGUUAUUCGUCUAGGAUCUAUUUAUUUAUUAGCACCUUGGAAGCUAUCUGGUUGCUUUUAAACAUGUUUUAAUAUUCUGUAUAAAAUUCGUGUGCUUUUGAAAAAUAAUUAGUAAGAGGAUCAUAAUCACAGUUAGGGGAUCAUAAACUGUUAUCAUAAUAAUGAUAGCAGAUUAGGUUAUUCGUCUAGGAUCUAUUUAUUUAUUAGCACCUUGGAAGCUAUCUGGUUGCUUUUAAACAUGUUUUAAUAUUCUGUAUAAAAUUCGUGUGCUUUUGAAAAAUAAUUAGUAAGAGG
rnacentral:lncRNA from 1 species